GGGACCUUAGCUCAGUGGUUAGAGCAGGUGACUCAUAAUCACUUGGUCGCUGGUUCAAACCCGGCAGGUCCCACCA
rnacentral:tRNA from 1 species